rnacentral:rRNA from 1 species
GACGUGGGGGGCGAGCGUUGUCCGGAAUUAUUGGGCGUAAAGGGCGUGUAGGCGGCCUGCCAAGUCGGCUGUGAAAUCCCCCGGCUCAACCGGGGGUCUGCAGUUGAAACUGGUGGGCUUGAGUGCAGGAGAGGAGGGUGGAAUUCCUGGUGUAGCGGUGAAAUGCGUAGAUAUCAGGAGGAACACCGGUGGCGAAGGCGACCUUCUGGCCUGUUACUGACGCUGAGGCGCGAAAGCUAGGGGAGCAAACAGGAUUAGAUACCCCCGUAGUCC